rnacentral:rRNA from 1 species
UACGAAGGGGGCUAGCGUUGUUCGGAAUUACUGGGCGUAAAGCGCGUGUAGGCGGGUCUUUAAGUCAGGGGUGAAAUGCCAAGGCUCAACCUUGGAACUGCCUUUGAUACUGGAGAUCUUGAGUCCGGGAGAGGUGAGUGGAAUUGCGAGUGUAGAGGUGAAAUUCGUAGAUAUUCGCAAGAACACCAGUGGCGAAGGCGGCUCACUGGCCCGGAACUGACGCUGAGACGCGAAAGCGUGGGGAGCAACAGG